AGAGUUUGACCUGGCUCAGGAUGAACGCUAGCGGCAGGCUUAAUACAUGCAAGUCGAGGGGCAGCAGGGUGUAGCAAUACAUCGCUGGCGACCGGCAAACGGGUGCGGAACACGUACGCAAUCUUCCCAAAACUGAUGAAUAGCCCUCCGAAAGGAGGAUUAAUACAUCGUAACAUAAUGAGGUGGCAUCACUUUAUUAUUAUAGCUCCGGCGGUUUUGGAUGAGCGUGCGCCUGAUUAGGUAGUUGGCGGGGUAACGGCCCACCAAGCCUACGAUCAGUAACUGGUGUGAGAGCACGACCAGUCACACGGGCACUGAGACACGGGCCCGACUCCUACGGGAGGCAGCAGUAAGGAAUAUUGGUCAAUGGACGCAAGUCUGAACCAGCCAUGCCGCGUGGAGGAUGAAUGCCCUCUGGGUUGUAAACUCCUUUUAUCUGGGAAGAAACCCGAGAAUUCUUUUUCGGUUGACGGUACCAGAGGAAUAAGCACCGGCUAACUCCGUGCCAGCAGCCGCGGUAAUACGGAGGGUGCAAGCGUUAUCCGGAUUCACUGGGUUUAAAGGGUGCGUAGGUGGGCAGGUAAGUCAGUGGUGAAAUCUUUGGGCUUAACCCGAAAACUGCCAUUGAUACUAUCUGUCUUGAAUGUUGUGGAGGUGAGCGGAAUAUGUCUGUAGCGGUGAAAUGCUUAGAUAUGACAUAGAACAUCGAUUGCGAAGGCAGCUCGCUACGCAAAUAUUGACACUGAGGCACGAAAGCGUGGGGAUCAAACAGGAUUAGAUACCCUAGUAGUCC
rnacentral:rRNA from 1 species